ACAGAGGGUGCAAACGUUGUUCGGAAUUACUGGGCAUAAAGAGCACGUAGGCGGCCAUUCAAGUCACGCGUGAAAUCCCCCGGCUCAACCGGGGAACUGCGUGUGAUACUGUUUGGCUAGAGGUCGGUAGGGGUGAGCGGAACUCUAGGUGGAGCGGUGAAAUGCGUAGAUAUCUAGAGGAACACCGGUGGCGAAAGCGGCUCACUGGACCGAAACUGACGCUGAGGUGCGAAAGCUAGGGUAGCAAACGGG
rnacentral:rRNA from 1 species